GUCAACACGUCUCUGUGUCUCUAAACUGAAGACUCUGUGUCUAGGCCUUCCAUACCCAGUGCCACCCCUUCUCAAUAUGUGAGUGUAGAUUUGAGAAGAAAGAGCUUAGAGAGAUGGAGAUGGAUAUGUACAGAUGUGUGGAAUGUGGGUUUCGGAUCAAAACACUGUCCGUGCAGUACUCACCUGGAAACAUCCGACUCAUGAAAUGCAUACAGACCCAUUUGUUUUCUUUCCUUUCUUCCUUUCUUUCUCUUUUUUGUCUUCCUUAAAUUUCAUUUACACGGUACAAUUAAUUUUCUGAUUUGCUGGCUUUGAUAGGAGAAUUGCAAAGCAGUUGCUGAUGAGUACAUUGAAUGUAAUUUCUUGAUUCUUCUAAUUGAUUUGAUUCUGCACAAGCCCAAAGCAUAUAGACAUUUACUCUUUAACGUUCUUAAACAAGGAGCUCCACAUUUUGAGGGUUUAUUGUGGAAGUCAACUAUUGGUUAUCUUCUUUUGGAUGCUUGUAUCCAUUGUCAUUGGGAUGAUAUUUCUUCUUUUGAUCUAAGAUUUUCAAUAAUUAUUUAAAGUCGGGCUACGAUUAUGAUUGAGUGCCUUAGCAAUACCCUAGACAGGAUACAAGCAUCCAACACAAUGGCAGUAAAAGGCUUUCUGGCUUGUGGGCUCUAAUUGGAAAAUUCAUGAAAUCAAAGUAUGAAGGUUUGGUAGGCAGUGAUAGCACUGUCUUAAUCUUUUAGCAAAUGGAACUGUCGUUCGAUUUGAAGGCCCUUUGGUGUACCUUCCUGUUAGUAGAUCUCGAAGUAAACAUCAGUUUGGUUUUGUAAAAUAGUGAUGACUGAAUCAGCUAUGAGUAGAUGCAUACGAGCCUGCUUCAGUGCACAUGCUGUUAAGAUUUUCACCACUCAGGACCGUAUCUAUUUUUGAACUUUGCUCUGUACGUAGGGUCCAAGGAAACUUAUGAAAAGGCUGAUGAGGUUCUAAAGUAGGAUAUUUUGGAUUGUUGGACGCCAGAAAAUCACUACGGAUGGAUUGAAUCUAAGUGUUAAACAUUUCUAGAUUUAGACCAUUGGUAAUGAUUUUCUGGAGUCCAACAGUCCAAGAUAUCCAACUUUAGAACCUCAUCAGCCUUUUCAUCAGUUUCCUUGGACCCUACCUCUGAGGUCCACGAAAAUGGAGGUGUAUCAUAUGAAGUUGGGUAGGUGUAUUCAAUCGAUAAGUGGACCAAAUGGGGACUGUAUGCUCGUCAGCUACUCCAGCUCAGUACAUGGUCUUCUUCUUCGGGCUCUAUCUGGUUGCUUUGGGGACUGGUGGGAUCAAACCUUGUGUUGAUCAGUACUGCCUUGAUGAUUUAGGUUAGUUUUUAGUGCAUGUAGCGCUGCUGCUUGGUUUUCUUGCCUUUUUGGGUGGACAUCAUACUAUGUUGCUUUUGUCAUGGUUUUAUUUCUGCGCAAACAGCUUC